rnacentral:rRNA from 1 species
GACGAACGCUGGCGGCGUGCUUAACACAUGCAAGUCGAACGAUGAAGCCGGAGCUUGCUCUGGUGAAUUAGUGGCGAACGGGUGAGUAACACGUGAGUAACCUGCCCUUGACUCUGGGAUAACUGCGGGAAACUGUAGCUAAUACCGGAUACGACCCUCGGCGGCAUCGCCAGGGGGUGGAAAGAAUUUCGGUCAAGGAUGGACUCGCGGCCUAUCAGCUAGUUGGUGAGGUAACGGCUCACCAAGGCGACGACGGGUAGCCGGCCUGAGAGGGUGACCGGCCGCACUGGGACUGAGACACGGCCCAGACUCCUACGGGAGGCAGCAGUGGGGAAUAUUGCACAAUGGGCGCAAGCCUGAUGUAGCAACGCCGCGUGAGGGAUGACGGCCUUCGGGUUGUAAACCUCUUUUAGUAGGGAAGAAGCGAAAGUGACGGUACCUGCAGAAAAAGCACCGGCUAACUACGUGCCAGCCGCCGCGGUAA